GCCAGCUCCUUGGGGGACGGGGAUGGCAGGAGCCACAGGUGGGCCACUGGGCCCCACGGGCCGGCAGGAGGCCUCCGGCCACGGCCAGGGAAGCCACAGGGCCGGGCCUGCGGGUCUCAGAUGCCUGGGACGUGCUUUUCAUGCCUUUCACUCUCCCCGAAACCUGCUGGGGCACUGCCACUCCGCAGGGGAGGAAACUGAGGAAUGAGGAUCGGCCCAGGGCCCGAGGCCGCCGGGCAGACGGAGCCGCACCCCAGCAGGACAGCCACGCAGCCGCCUCCCUGCUCAGCGGCUCCCGCCCAGGCCCAGCGCUGCACCUCCUCCCAGCACCGACCUGCGGGAGCCACAGCACCCAGCGCCCAGGUGCGAGCCGCCCAGCCCUGCUCCUCACGCUGCCGCUGCCCGGAGGGGGCCAGGGGGCCGGAGCCGCGGCUGCCACCAGUGUCACUGGCUCUGCCUGGAGGGGGCUGCACCCGGGACCCCCACACGACCCCGCUUCUCCGGCUGAUCAGAUGCGGCAUCUCAUUCGCUCCCGUGACCCAGGCCACAGGAGCUCCCAGCGCUCAGCUACGCAAAAGCACAUCAGUGAAGUCACAGGAUGGCUUCUUCCGAAACAUACUCAAUAGCUGACGACUGAACAUGCUCAUCCGCGGAGAGGCCGGGACCACCGAGGCCACAGCAGGUGCCUCCAAGAGAGGCUGGUCUGAGUCGCCCCUCACAUCGCCCGGCUGUGCUCAGCGGCUGAGAGCCAGUGACAGCCCACGGUCACAUGCCGUCCAGGCGGAGCGGCCAGACUCCGGCGGCCUGUCCAGGCCGUGGGCCAGGGGCCUGCGGCUCAGAGCCCAGCUGGCCCCCCGCCAGGGCUGGCCACAGAGGGAGCCCCCGGUGCCCACUGUUCCCACCUCCCCGUGGCGACAGGGCAGAGGCGCUGCUCCCUGUGUGUGUCCAUGUGCCCGUGUGCGGAGCGUGUGGGCGGAGAGUCCGGAAGGACCCAUCGCCAUGGUGCGCGCUGGCCCCGGGCCGGGGCCGGGAGGCCGGACAGAGGGAGCUGGCCCGCUCUGCAGGCCUCCGCCGUCUCGGCACGCAUCCCUCCCAGGCUGGGUGUUUGUUUAUUUUCUCAGCCUAAUAAAAUAAUCCCGUGUUCCUUC